AGCCCAAUCAUGAGCCCGCAGUUGAUUUCUUGUCCUUUCUUGUUUUUAUUAUCUGCGAGAGUUUCUCGUGCCUCGCUUGGCCGUGCGGCUGCCCUCGCUCUUACCUUUGCCGCUAACUGCGGCGCACGUUAGGUGAGAGCACGUCACAUUCGCGCGCGUACUGUGCAUGAUGGAACGGUGUAGUACGUGCGCACACAUGUCUCUCUCUCUGCAUAUGGAUGCCUUCGCAGGCAUUGCCUUGCCGGCGUCGCCUCAUCUCCUCCCCCUUCCACAGCUGCGUGAGUGUCUUUAGCUGCUUUUAUUAUUCGUUUUCUACUUCUCUAUGCUGGUUGUUGCCAGUAUCAUAUAUAACGUUUUUCGUGGCCCUGUCUCCCCGCCGCCGCCGCCGCCGCCGCCGCUGACGCCCCCCGAACCCCUCUCUUCCCUUGUCUUGCUCUACAGCUCACGCGCCCAGCUUCCCUCGCUGGGUGUGUGCGUGUCUCUCUGUCCGUCUGCCGGUGCCGCUGAUGCUUCCAAAACGGCCGCUUCUUCUUUUCCUCCUCUUCCUCAAUGUUCAUCCGUUGGUCUCCUCACCUCCUGAUGAUGCGGGGACCACCUCCAUGCGUCGUCUCAUACAG
rnacentral:misc_RNA from 1 species